rnacentral:tRNA from 1 species
GGUGGCGUAGCUCAGUCAGGCCAGAGCAUCGGCUUGUCACGCCGAGGGUCGCCGGUUCGAGUCCGGUCGUCACCGCCA